rnacentral:rRNA from 1 species
GGUAACUACGGGGCAGCGGGCGCGGGGAUACUGUGGGGGCGAGAGUUGUGCAGAUUUAUGGGGCGUAAAUAGCGUGGAGGCGGCCAGACAGGUCCGUUGUGAAAACUCGAGGCGCAACCUCGGGGAGUCGAUGGAAACCGUCGGUCUAGGGUCCGGAAGAGGAGAGUGGAAUUCCUGGGGUAGCGGUGAAAUGCGCAGAUAUCAGGAAGAACACCCGUGGCUAAGGCGGCUCUCUAGUACGGUACUGACGCUGAGACGCGAAAGCGUGGGGAGCGAACAGGAUUAGAUACCCUUGUAGUC